rnacentral:rRNA from 1 species
ACGCUGGCGGCGUGCCUAAUACAUGCAAGUCGAACGCACAGCGAAAGGUGCUUGCACCUUUCAAGUGAGUGGCGAACGGGUGAGUAACACGUGGACAACCUGCCUCAAGGCUGGGGAUAACAUUUGGAAACAGAUGCUAAUACCGAAUAAAACUUAGUGUCGCAUGACACAAAGUUAAAAGGCGCUUCGGCGUCACCUAGAGAUGGAUCCGCGGUGCAUUAGUUAGUUGGUGGGGUAAAGGCCUACCAAGACAAUGAUGCAUAGCCGAGUUGAGAGACUGAUCGGCCACAUUGGGACUGAGACACGGCCCAAACUCCUACGGGAGGCUGCAGUAGGGAAUCUUCCACAAUGGGCGAAAGCCUGAUGGAGCAACGCCGCGUGUGUGAUGAAGGCUUUCGGGUCGUAAAGCACUGUUGUAUGGGAAGAACAGCUAGAAUAGGAAAUGAUUUUAGUUUGACGGUACCAUACCAGAAAGGGACGGCUAAAUACGUGCCAGCAGCCGCGGUAAUACGUAUGUCCCGAGCGUUAUCCGGAUUUAUUGGGCGUAAAGCGAGCGCAGACGGUUUAUUAAGUCUGAUGUGAAAGCCCGGAGCUCAACUCCGGAAUGGCAUUGGAAACUGGUUAACUUGAGUGCAGUAGAGGUAAGUGGAACUCCAUGUGUAGCGGUGGAAUGCGUAAAUAUAUGGAAGAACACCAGUGGCGAAGGCGGCUUACUGGACUGCAACUGACGUUGAGGCUCGAAAGUGUGGGUAGCAAAACAGGAUUAGAUACCCUGGUAGUCCACACCGUAAACGAUGAAACACUAGGUGUUAGGAGGUUUCCGCCUCUUAGUGCCGAAGCUAACGCAUUAAGUGUUCCGCCUGGGGAGUACGACCGCAAGGUUGAAACUCAAAGGAAUUGACGGGGACCCGCACAAGCGGUGGAGCAUGUGGUUUAAUUCGAAGCAACGCGAAGAACCUUACCAGGUCUUGACAUCCUUUGAAGCUUUUAGAGAUAGAAGUGUUCUCUUCGGAGACAAAGUGACAGGUGGUGCAUGGUCGUCGUCAGCUCGUGUCGUGAGAUGUUGGGUUAAGUCCCGCAACGAGCGCAACCCUUAUUGUUAGUUGCCAGCAUUCAGAUGGGCACUCUAGCGAGACUGCCGGUGACAAACCGGAGGAAGGCGGGGACGACGUCAGAUCAUCAUGCCCCUUAUGACCUGGGCUACACACGUGCUACAAUGGCGUAUACAACGAGUUGCCAACCCGCGAGGGUGAGCUAAUCUCUUAAAGUACGUCUCAGUUCGGAUUGUAGUCUGCAACUCGACUACAUGAAGUCGGAAUCGCUAGUAAUCGCGGAUCAGCACGCCGCGGUGAAUACGUUCCCGGGUCUUGUACACACCGCCCGUCACACCAUGGGAGUUUGUAAUGCCCAAAGCCGGUGGCCUAACCUUUUAGGAAGGAGCCGUCUAAGGCAGGACAGAUGACUGGGGUGAAGUCG